UAGGGAAUCUUCGGCAAUGGACGAAAGUCUGACCGAGCAACGCCGCGUGAGUGAAGAAGGUUUUCGGAUCGUAAAACUCUGUUGUUAGAGAAGAACAAGGACGUUAGUAACUGAACGUCCCCUGACGGUAUCUAACCAGAAAGCCACGGCUAACUACGUGCCAGCAGCCGCGGUAAUACGUAGGUGGCAAGCGUUGUCCGGAUUUAUUGGGCGUAAAGCUGGCGCAGGCGGUUUCUUAAGUCUGAUGUGAAAGCCCCCGGCUCAACCGGGGAGGGUCAUUGUAAACUGGGAGACUUGAGUGCAGAAGAGGAGAGUGGAAUUCCAUGUGUAGCGGUGAAAUGCGUAGAUAUAUGGAGGAACACCAGUGGCGAAGGCGGCUCUCUGGACUGUAAAUGACGCUGAGGCUCGAAAGCGUGGGGAGCAAACAGG
rnacentral:rRNA from 1 species